AGAUUUUCUGUCUCUCCUUAGAUAAUAAUAUAGAGAAAGAUAGGUAGUCGAUUAAUCUUCCGUUAGCAGUUAACCGUGAGUUGUGGAACCGGGUCACGGUGAACAGUAUGAUCAGUGAUGACCAGUGAUGACCAGUGUUGACCAGCAACAGGAACCGUGUCUCGAAUGUAGACUGCUGAGCGGAGGUGACUUCGUCGCCGCCGGUUUAUACGUUUGCCAUCAUUCCAAACGGUACCAGAAGCAAGUAGGAAAAGCAGUGAUGUACUCAUCUGCCUCUGAGAUACAGCUCCGCGGCAUUCGCAAUUUUGAUAGCGAGGACGCCUUAUGCUUCUCCUGCCCGCUCACGCUUAUUUUUGGGUUAAAUGGAACCGGGAAAACCAGCAUAAUCGAGGCGCUGAAGAACAAGUGUGUUAAUGAUGCAGAAAUCAAUAUAGCAUUGGGUGUUUCAAAAUCAAUUUUAAAUUAUGUUGUAUUUUGCCCUCAAAAUGAGCUUAAUUCGUCGUUUGACCAAAACGAAAUGUUAAAAAAUAUAUUUGAUGAGAUAUUUGACAGUGCAAAAUUUAAUAAAGCCUCGGAAUCCAUUUUAAAGCUUCAGAAAGAGUUACAAGACAAUAUUCGAACUUUAAAAACAGAAAAACAAACUUUAAGUGUACUCGUAUCUGAAGUGGAAGAUAAACAGAAUAAGCUCAAGGAACAUAAAAAAAGUAUGGAUAUUGCAAAGGAAAAAAUAAAUGACAUUGAUAAACAGAUUGAACUUGUGAAACAAGAGAUUGAAGAAGUGCAGCAAUUUACUACGAAAUAUAUGAACAUCCAGGUUGAGGAAGGGAAAACGAAAAUGGAAAUUAGUAUGCAUAAAGAUCAAUAUGAAAAACUGAAGAAAAAUAUAAAGAAUAUAUUUGAGGAAACAACAGAGGAAUUAGAAGAAGAAUUGGAGAAUUUAAAAAGAAAGCAUGAAGAUAAUAUUAGAGUGUUGUUAAAUAUCCAAGAAUUAGGACAAAUGAAAUUGAAAGAUACUGUGGAGCGCCUUUACCAGAAAUUGGAAGAAGAAAAAGAUGCACAAAUACAAGCACAACAAUGGAAAACUGUGGCAUUUAAACUAACAGCGCGAAAUAUGGAAUACUACAUUAAAAAACAGCUAGAUGAACUUAAAAACUUAAAGAAUUUGAAGAAAAAGUUUAAAAAGGCACAGAAUAAUGUGAUGGAUUCAGAAAAAAAUCUAGAAGCUCUAAAAGCAGAACUUAAUAAAAAGUUGUUGCUAUAUAAAAAUGUGAUUAACGACAUUAAAUUGUGGGAUCGGUGUAUAGAUGAGAUACAGCAAUUGAAGGGAGCAGUUAACAACUUGGAAACUCAGAUGACUAGUACAGAGAAUUGGCAAAAGCAAGAAGCCGAUAGAAAAUCGAUGUCCGAAAGUGUCAGACGUUUGCAUAAGAUAUUGGACGAGAUCAAUUCUUUUGUUAAUAGCAAUGUACUUGAGAAAUUCGAAGCCCAAAAGUACGAAAUACAAACUUAUAAGAAUUUGUUAACAAAACUUGUGAACGAGAAAAAUGACAUAAAGCAGACAAUAAGCAAAUUGAAGGAGGACAUUAUUUCUCAGGAAAUUGGAAAGCGAGAAUUACUUGACAACAUAACUUUACGUAAAAUUAGGGAAAAACUAGAGAUCUUGAAAGAGCAGUACAAAAAAUUUAAUAGUAUGGAUUAUAAAAAGAAAAUGAUUCAGUUAAAAAACGAAAAGCAAGCAUUGCUUCAACAAAAACAGGUCAUAUUUGAAAAUCAGGAAGAAUUAGAGAGAGAAAUCAAACAAUAUACGCAUGAAUUAGAAAAAGAAGAAUAUCGAUUAACUUCUCGGAAUUAUACUAACAAGUGCAUUGAAUUGGUGGUUCAAGAAGAUACUAUAGCCAAUUUGAAAACUUACAAUGAAGUAUUGAAUACCACGAUGAUCGAAUAUCACGAGAAACAUAUGUCGACGGUCAAUAAGAUAAUAAAGAAGUUAUGGAAGCAUAUUUACAAGGGUACAGAUAUUACCAGCAUUGAGAUCUGCACAGAGCUUAAGAAGGGUGAACGUAGCAACAGAAGGAACUACAACUAUAAAUUGGUUCAAACCAGGCAUGAUGGCUGUAAAAAGGAUAUGAAAAAACAUUGUAGCGCUGGACAGGAGGUAAUUAGGCAUUGGCAUCAAUAAUUAUAAGACUCGCCUUGGCAGAAACAUUUUGUAAAAAUUUCGGGAUUUUCGUGUUAGACGAACCAACGACGAAUUUGGAUGAAGAAAAUGCGAACAAUUUAGCGGAUAUGCUAACUAAGAUAGUUGAGUUGCGAUCAAGAUAUCAAAAAAA
rnacentral:misc_RNA from 1 species